rnacentral:rRNA from 1 species
AGUGAACGCUGGCGGUAGGCCUAACACAUGCAAGUCGAACGGCAGCACAGUAAGAGCUUGCUCUUACGGGUGGCGAGUGGCGGACGGGUGAGGAAUACAUCGGAAUCUACUUUUUCGUGGGGGAUAACGUAGGGAAACUUACGCUAAUACCGCAUACGACCUACGGGUGAAAGCAGGGGAUCUUCGGACCUUUCGCGAUUGAACGAGCCGAUGUCGGAUUAGCUAGGUGGCGGGGUAAAGGCACACGAAGGCGACGAUCCGUAGCUGGUCUGAGAGGAUGAUCCGCCACACUGGAACUGAGACACGGUCCAGACUCCUACGGGAGGCCGCAGUGGGGAAUAUUGGAGAAUGGGCGAAAGCCUGAUCCAGCCAUACCGCGUGAGUGAAGAAGGCCUUCGGGUUGUAAAGCCCUUUUGUUGGGAAAGAAAAGCAGCAGGUUAAUACCCCGCUGUUCUGACGGUACCCAAAGAAUAAGCACCGGCUAACUUCGUG